CCAAUCAGUUCCGGACAGUUGAAUCUUAGUCUCAAACUGUUGAUACGCAAGAACAUGCAGGACAAAUUCAAGACACAUAUUUCACGCAGGUAUUUUCUCACCGAGGCAAAAGCGUAUCCAGGAGGGCGAAGUCUCAGACCACGUCACAGAGGGGCGCGGAAGGAGCGGUGCUGACGGGCACGGACAGGACGGUGGCGAGCUUGAUGAGGUCGCCCACGAGGUCGGCCUAGGCAGGGGAAGGGGUGGAACGGCGGCGGAGUGGCUGUCGAGAAAGAGGAGGCCGAAGCUCGACGACCGACGGCGGCCGUGCUCGAUGGUGGAGGUGCCGUCAGGGCCGAGCUCGAUGAGGUCGCCCACGAGGCCGGCCUGGGCAGGGGCAGGGGAAGGGGAAGCGGCCGGCCGGCGGUACUCCUCCUCGGGAGCCUCCCAACUACGAGCGGAUCCGCGCCGCGCGGACUCCAUCUCGCCGGAGCUGCCGGCAGCAGCGUGCGGUCGCCCGACACGAGGAAGAAGAUGGCCCUUUGGUUUGGACCAAUUUUUAAAUGAAUUUAAACUGUUGAGGGGGUUAUUGUAAACUUAACUUAAAACACGGACACGCCCAUUAAUUCGGGCCGGAGGGAGUAGUA